rnacentral:lncRNA from 1 species
CGCAGCAGAGAGGUACUGGCACAUGCCUGCCUGCAUCCUGUGCCCGGGGUAGGACGGGGACGGCGCCGAGGACUGGGGGGCGCCGGGGGGGUACUGCGUGCCGGGGUACUGCCCGCCCUGCAGGUACUGCUGCGCCGGGUACCCCUCGCCGGCGUACGCCCGCUUGACGCCCUGCCGCGGCAGCUGCUGCCCGGGGGGGGCCCGGGGUAGGCGUGCUGGGGCAGCCGCUGCGUGCCGUACAGCGUGCCCACCCCGGGCGCCCGCGCGGGCCCCACGCCCAGCGGCG